rnacentral:rRNA from 1 species
AGUGAACGCUGGCGGUAGGCCUAACACAUGCAAGUCGAACGGCAGCACAGUAAGAGCUUGCUCUUACGGGCGGCGAGUCGCGGACGGGUGAGGAAUAUAUCGGACUCCACUUUUUCGUGGGGGAUCACGUAGGGACACUAACGCUAAUACCGCACACGACCUACGGGUGAAAGCAGGGGAUCUUCGGACCUUGCGCGAUUGUAUGAGCCGAUGUCGGAUUAGCUAGUGGGCGGGGUAAAGGCCCACCAAGGCGACGAUCCGUAGCUGGUCUGAGAGGAUGAUCAGCCACACUGGAACUGAGACACGGUCCAGACUCCUACGAGAGGCAGCAGUGGGGAAUAUUGGACAAUGGGCGCAAGCCUGAUCCAGCCAUGCCGCGUGGAUGAAGAAGGCCUUCGGGUUGUAAAGCCCUUUUGUAGGGAAAGAAACGCAGCAGGUUAAUACCCCGCUGUUCUGACGGUACCCCAAGAAUAAGCUCCGGCUAACUUCGUG